rnacentral:lncRNA from 1 species
CUAACAGCUGGCACUUUGGAGUCCAUAUCACUUGGGCCUGUAGACAGACCACAAAGAAGCUUUUCAGAGACAAUGAUGAAGAAAAAGGAAUCAUCGAAUCUCUACAGAAGCAGAGUGUUUCCAUGUGGUCGCCUUUCGGAUGAAGGUCAAGAUGAGCAGAGACCACCAAGCACAUUUCAAGAAGGAUAUUAGAUUUCACUGGAGCCAGGAACUCAGAAAUACACUCUGUGGUCUGUGGGAAUCGCAAGCCCUCCUCAUACACCUCUAAGCACAAGAAGCGCUCGUUCACAAAAAGAGGGAGAGGAUAUUUCUGCUACUGUCUUGCCCUUGUUCUCCAAGGACCUCCUCAUCCCUGUUUUGCCAAACCUCCUGGUUCCCCCUGGUGUGUGAGCUGGUGUUGGGGACGCUCAGGUCCCCACUUCUCAGACUGGUGGAAACCCUCAGAGAGAUCAACAUCUGAAAAUCCAUCUCAAUGAUUUUUCUGGAACUAGGCACCCUGACCUCAGCUGCUUAAUGUUAAUAGACCAAGAAUGCAAACAGCGAAGCACAAAAACAUUCCUGGAAAGAAGAAUGUUCUCCACUUAGUAGGCGGGUGAGUAACAUGAUAAGAGCCUUAAGGCCAGGAGCUAGAUGAUGGUCAUAUCGCUAGGACCCCUGCUUUUGGUCUCCGCAGUUGCGAGCUGCUAACAGCAUCUGGCGUCCAUCAGGCCUGGGUGAGGAAUGCUGGCAGGGCUAUUUGUGGAGCCAGUUCCUGAGAGCACACUUAAGACACCUCAUACAUUUCGAGCUUUCUCCCACCUCUUGGGGUGCGGGGGAGGGGGAUACCGGCUGUGAUUGUGUUUAUGGUGGAGAGGGAUGAAAUGUUUUGGGGAGUCACCAUGCCUUUUCAAUGCUCUGUUCCUCUUUGAGAAUUGCUCUUGCAAGUGUGUCCUUACCUCUAGUCCCUAAGGAUUUUAGAAACUCAAACCAACAGAGGGUGAAAAAUCACAACUUGGGGUCAGACUAGCUAAUUAUCAUUCGGCUUGUUCACCCCUGCAGAGUCAUCAACUUCCCUUAGCAAAUUUGGGGACACUUGGACUUUCCUUCUGCUUGGGUUUCACAUCCGUCUACAGCCUGGGAACAGUUUUAUUCCCCAGGAUGCUCUGGCUUCCACUGCAGCAGGCGGGAGCAUUUACCAUCCCAUAAUAUUCCACCCCCUCCCCUCUCCUCCUCUCACCCAGGCUUCUCCUCAUCCCGCCCCUCAAGCCACAUCUUCAGGACGCCUUUUCGGAUAUGGCUUAGCCCUUGAUCUGAACUCCCUCAGAACCUAUUUCUGUACUGCAGUUUCACAUUUAAUUAGAUCCUGUUGUUUAGAGUCAACUUUAAGUAUAAAUGCACUUUUGGAGUUCCCGUCGUGGCGCAGUGGUUAACGAAUCCGACUAGGAACCAUGAGGUUGCGGGUUCGGUCCCUGCCCUUGCUCAGUGGGUUAACGAUCCGGCGUUGCCGUGAGCUGUGGUGUAGGUUGCAGACACGGCUCGGAUCCCGAGUUGCUGUGGCUCUGGCAUAGGCUGGUGGCUACAGCUCUGAUUAGACCCCUAGCCUGGGAACCUCCAUAUGCCGCGGGAGCGGCCCAAGAAAUAGCAACAACAACAACAACAACAAAAAAGACAAAAAGACCAAAAAAAUAAAAUAAAAUAAAAA